rnacentral:rRNA from 1 species
CAAGCCAACCACAGAAAAGCCAUCUCAGUUCGGAUUGUAGUCUGCAACCCGACUACAUGAAGCUGGAAUCGCUAGUAAUCGCAGAUCAGAAUGCUGCGGUGAAUACGUUCCCGGGUCUUGUACACACCGCCCGUCACACCAUGGGAGUUGGAAAUGCCCGAAGCCAGUGACCCAACCGUAAGGAGGGAGCUGUCGAAGGCAGGUUCGAUGACUGGGGUGAAGUCGUAACAAGGUAGC